rnacentral:rRNA from 1 species
UACGGGGGGUGCGAGCGUUGUCCGGAAUCACUGGGCGUAAAGGGCGCGUAGGUGGUUUGAUAAGGGUGUGGUGAAAGUCCGGGGCUCAACCCCGGAUCUGCCGUGCCGACUGUCAAACUCGAGGACUGUAGAGGCAGACGGAAUUCCGGGUGUAGCGGUGGAAUGCGUAGAUAUCGGGAGGAACACCAGUGGCGAAGGCGAUCAUCUGGGAUUAACCUGACGCUGAGGAGCGAAAGCCAGGGGAGCAAACGGG